UUAAUUGAAACCAAAAUAGCGGUAUAUUACUGUUAAUAAUACUAUUGAGUUUAACUCCAAUUAAAAAG
rnacentral:tRNA from 1 species